GAUGAACGCUGGCGGCGUGCCUAAUACAUGCAAGUCGAGCGAACAGACGAGGAGCUUGCUCCUCUGACGUUAGCGGCGGACGGGUGAGUAACACGUGGAUAACCUACCUAUAAGACUGGGAUAACUUCGGGAAACCGGAGCUAAUACCGGAUAAUAUAUUGAACCGCAUGGUUCAAUAGUGAAAGACGGUUUUGCUGUCACUUAUAGAUGGAUCCGCGCCGCAUUAGCUAGUUGGUAAGGUAACGGCUUACCAAGGCAACGAUGCGUAGCCGACCUGUGAGGGUGGUCGGCCACACGGGAAGUGAGACGCGGUCCAGACUACUGCGGGAGGCAGCAGUAGGGAAUCUUCCGCAAUGGGCGAAGGCCUGACGGAGCAACGCCGCGUGAGUGAUGAAGGUCUUCGGAUCGUAAAACUCUGUUAUUAGGGAAGAACAAAUGUGUAAGUAACUAUGCACGUCUUGACGGUACCUAAUCAGAAAGCCACGGCUAACUACGUG
rnacentral:rRNA from 1 species